rnacentral:rRNA from 1 species
AGAGUUUGAUCCUGGCUCAGGACGAACGCUGGCGGCGUGCCUAAUACAUGCAAGUAGAACGCUGAAGGAGGAGCUUGCUUCUCUGGAUGAGUUGCGAACGGGUGAGUAACGCGUAGGUAACCUGCCUGGUAGCGGGGGAUAACUAUUGGAAACGAUAGCUAAUACCGCAUAAGAGUGGAUGUUGCAUGACAUUUGCUUAAAAGGUGCACUUGCAUCACUACCAGAUGGACCUGCGUUGUAUUAGCUAGUUGGUGGGGUAAGGGCUCACCAAGGCGACGAUACAUAGCCGACCUGAGAGGGUGAUCGGCCACACUGGGACUGAGACACGGCCCAGACUCCUACGGGAGGCAGCAGUAGGGAAUCUUCGGCAAUGGACGGAAGUCUGACCGAGCAACGCCGCGUGAGUGAAGAAGGUUUUCGGAUCGUAAAGCUCUGUUGUAAGAGAAGAACGAGUGUGAGAGUGGAAAGUUCACACUGUGACGGUAUCUUACCAGAAAGGGACGGCUAACUACGUGCCAGCAGCCGCGGUAAUACGUAGGUCCCGAGCGUUGUCCGGAUUUAUUGGGCGUAAAGCGAGCGCAGGCGGUUAGAUAAGUCUGAAGUUAAAGGCUGUGGCUUAACCAUAGUAGGCUUUGGAAACUGUUUAACUUGAGUGCAAGAGGGGAGAGUGGAAUUCCAUGUGUAGCGGUGAAAUGCGUAGAUAUAUGGAGGAACACCGGUGGCGAAAGCGGCUCUCUGGCUUGUAACUGACGCUGAGGCUCGAAAGCGUGGGGAGCAAACAGGAUUAGAUACCCUGGUAGUCCACGCUGUAAACGAUGAGUGCUAGGUGUUAGACCCUUUCCGGGGUUUAGUGCCGUAGCUAACNUAGUAUUUCAAGUCUACUUGGUUAUCCACGAAUUUUUUGCCUUGUUACCUUAGACGAGAUAAAACGUCUAUGCGUUAUCAAACUCAUUACCAAUUGAAACAAAAAACUGUGGUUAGAGCCUUUCGGAAAUCGUCAAGCGAUUGGAGGGAAUAAACUAAUCCACAGUGGCUUAUUCCAAGUAUACCACUUGGGCUUUGGCAGUAGCUAACUGCGCUAAAUAUAAUAUAAGGAGAAAUAGAUGGAUUUAUGGUUUUCUGAAGUUCAUACUCCAGAUGUCAAAUUGUCUCUGAGAACAGCCAAGCAACUUUACGCUGGAAAAAGUGAAUGGCAGGAUAUCGAAGUCUUGGAUACGCCAGCUUUUGGGAAAAUACUGAUUUUAAAUGGCCAUGUCUUGUUCUCAGAUGCGGAUGAUUUCGUCUACAAUGAAAUGACCGUUCACGUUCCCAUGGCUGUCCA